GCUUUUGGAAAUCGAGUUUUAUAAACUCGCUUUCGCUUUAACGCUUUUUUCCCUUCCCACUUAAAACAAUCUACAGAGACCCGUUCAAAAUCUCUCAAUCUCAGACACCGCUCUCUCAAACUCUCUCAAACUCUCUCAAACUCUUCCCCUCACUGUGAAAAUUUCAAAAUCAACUCACUCUCAGACACUCCGCUCUGUCAAACUCGCCGUGCCGAAGGUGGUUCUCCCAUUGAGACUCAGCCACCGAAACUGAGUUCUGCUCCCAUUGACAGUGAGGCACUCAAAGUCAGUACUGCUCCCAUUGAACCACCGUGCGCCUAAGUAUGGAGCCUCGGAUUGAUGAGGAGUUAGAGGUCUUGGACCCCGGUCCGCGUCAGAGGUCAUUGUUGACACGACAGCCAUAUCAUCGAUCAGAGGCCAUUUGGAAUGGCGAGGACUCGGGCCCACUUACGUGCCGUGGUCGCACUAAGGAGAUGGCAAACGUUCAGAUGCAAGAUAAUCGAGUCAUUGAUAUUAUCAAAUUGCUAAGGCUAGAAGGAUUGUUUAGAGCCCCUUCAAGAGAGAUAGACAAUUGCCUAAUAUCGGCCCUAGUUGAGCGAUGGCGGCCGGAGACUCAUACUUUCCAUCUUCCACAUGGUGAGAUGACAAUCACCCUACAAGAUGUGGAGGUAAUUUUCGGACUUCCGAUAGACGGUGACGUCUUGGUUGGGCCGACUGCUGUGGUGG